rnacentral:rRNA from 1 species
UACGAAGGGGGCUAGCGUUGCUCGGAAUCGCUGGGCGUAAAGCGCACGUAGGCGGAUUGCUAAGUCAGGGGUGAAAUCCCGGAGCUCAACUCCAGAACUGCCUUUGAUACUGGCGAUCUUGAGUCCGGGAGAGGUGAGUGGAACUGCGAGUGUAGAGGUGAAAUUCGUAGAUAUCAGGAAGAACACCAAUGGCGAAAGCAGCUCUCUGGGACGGUACUGACGCUGAGACGCGAAAGCGUGGGGAGCGAACAGG